rnacentral:lncRNA from 1 species
UUUGAUUUAGGAUUUAGGAUUAGGAUUAGAAUUUGGUUAGGAUUUAUUUUAGGGUUAGAAUUUGGUUAGGGUUUGAGUAGGGUUUGAUUUAAGAUUAGGAUUUAAUUUAAGGUUUAGGAUUUGGUUAGGAUUUGGUUUAGGAUUUAGGAUUUGAUUAGGAUUUGAUUUGGGAUUAGGAUUUGGUUUAGGAUUUAGAAUUUGGUUAGGGUUUGGUUAAGAUUUGAUUAGAAUUUAGUUAGGAUUUGAUUUAGGAUUUGAUUUAAGAUUAGAAGUUUGAUUUAGGAUUUGAUUUAAGAUUAAAGGUUUAGUUUAGGAUUUAGGAUUUGGUUAGGAUUUGAUUUAGGAUUAGGAUUUGAUUUAAGAUUUAGAAAUUGAUUAGGAUUUGAUUUAGGAUUUAGGAUUUGAUUUAAGAUUUAGGAUUUGAUUUAGGAUUUAGGAUUUGGUUUAGGAUUUUAGGUUUAAUUAGGAUUUCAUCAGGAUUUGAUUUAGGAUUUAGGGUUUUUUUUGAGAUUGUUUAAGAUUUAAGAUUUACUCAGUUUUUGGCCUAAAGUUGGAAUGAAAUAAGAUUUCAACUAGGAUAACAUUAAGAUUGAAUUGAUAUGUAUUUAAAAUAUGUUUGUAAUCAUUUUAAUAUUUCAUUAAGAUUUCUUAUUGUUUCUUUAGAAUUCCUUUGAAGUUUCUCUGAAUUUGAUUAAAGUUCAUUUAGCAUUGUUAGUAUUCUAUUAGAAUUAAGAUUUUAUUGUUAUAAUUUCUAUUCUACCUUCCACAGCCAGGUGCUCAAAGCAUUCUUAAGCAAGAUUUUACGUAUUACAACAACGAUGAAGUGAAAAAAUUUACAGAUGAUAAUAGUGGUCAGCUACAAGUAACAAUGUUGCUAGUUUCCAAAGUUUCAGAACGAAUAAGUCAGUAUCAGCACCAAUUAGAAUUGAGAGAUGCUCAAAUCCU